GUGGGUCUUUAAUGAUUGGACUAGUAUGAUUCCGUUAUCAGUUCCAAUGUGUGGUUUUCUCCCCCACACCACCGAUCAAUUGUUGGACACUAGCUGGAUGUUCUAGAAUUCAACUCCAUUCUGACAGUAUCUACCUGGAGACAGCAUCAGCCAGAUGGAAGAGAUACAUAUGGCAAGAUGUGUGGGAAGGAGAGCAAAGCUUUCAUGCUCUCUGAGGAUACAACUCUCCCCAAAUCUCCAUGUAUUCACCAACCUCGAAGCUCUCUGAAUCCUGUCCUUUGACAUUUGGAGAAGGCUCCAUUACAUAGAUGGCCAACAGACACAUGUGAAGAUGCUCAACAUCACUCAUCAUCAGGGAAAUGCAAAUCAACACCACAAUGAAAUAUCAGCUAAAACCUGUCAGAAUGGCUAGAAUCAAAAAGGCAAGAAAUAAUAAGUGUUGGCAAGGAUGUGGAGAAAAAGGAAUUCUUGGGCACUGUUGGUGAGAAGUCUUCAACUUCUGGGAUCUUCUCAGAAAAACUAAGAAAAAUCCCAAACUAGUCUAUCUUGAGGUGAUUCUUCACCAUCUGCUCAAAUAUCUGCCAUGAAAUUUAAAAAGGAAAGAACUGGAGCUGAUUUGUCCUUCCAAUUCUAAAGUGAUUAGCACAUCUUCCUCCUUUCUUUUCCUCCCAACUUCAUACCUUGUCUUUUGCCUGUUCUGUGAGGGCUCUGCAUUUUGAGGUAAAUAAUAAAGCCAUGAUAAUUUAUGAAUAAAGAAGUGACUGUAUUGUGUUCUGUGUGCCAGUGAAAGAAGGAGAUGUCCAAAGAGUGAUGAGUCACAGAUGAGAGAAACAAAAUAAAAUAAAUUAGCAUAUCUUAGAAUACAGGCCAAGAAAGAAAUUUAGUUCUUGGUAUUUCCCAUCCUCUCUCCUCUGAUUUUAUUUUUUUUCUUUUUAGGGUU